AGAGUUGUAGCUCAUCGGUAGAGUGCUUGCCUGGUAUGUAUGAGGCCCUGGGUUCAAUCCUCAGCACUG
rnacentral:tRNA from 1 species